GCUGCUGCAGGAGAUGGCAUUCCUCCUCAUAACCGCCCCGAUCGGGCUGAUGAUGCCUAUGGUAUU
rnacentral:ncRNA from 1 species